rnacentral:rRNA from 1 species
UGGGGAAUCUUCCGCAAUGGACGAAAGUCUGACGGCGCAACGCCGCGUGAGUGAAGACGGCCUUCGGGUUGUAAAGCUCUUUUAUUCGGGAAGAACGAUUCGUUUGAGAACAAUGACCGGAAGUGACGGUACCGCAAGAGAAAGCCACGGCUAACUACGUGCCAGCAGCCGCGGUAAUACGUAGGUGGCAAGGGUUGUCCGGAAUUAUUGGGCGUAAAGAGCGCGUAGGCGGUAUGGUAAGUCUGUCUUAGAAGUGCGGGGCUUAACCCCGUGAGGGGAAAGAGACUGUGAUACUGGAGUGUCGGAGAGGAAAGCGGAAUUCCUAGUGUGGCGGUGAGAUGCGUAGAGAUUAGGAAGAACACCGGUGGCGAAGGCGGCUUUCUGGGCGAGCACUGACGCGGAGGAGCGAAAGCGUGGGGAGCGAACAGG